rnacentral:rRNA from 1 species
GAUGAACGCUGGCGGCGUGCCUAAUACAUGCAAGUCGAGCGAACAGAUGAGGAGCUUGCUCCUCUGACGUUAGCGGCGGACGGGUGAGUAACACGUGGAUAACCUACCUAUAAGACUGGGCUAACUUCGGGAACCCGGAGCUAAUACCGGAUAAUAUAUUGAACCGCAUGGUUCAAUAGUGAAAGACGGUUUUGCCUUCCCUUAUAGAUGGAUCCCCCCCCCAUUAGCUAUUUGGUAAUGUAACGCCUUACCAAGGCAACGAUUCCUAGCCGACCUGAGAGGGUGACCGUCCACACUGGAACUGAGACACGGUCCAGACUCCUACGCGAGGCAGCAGUAGGGAAUCUUCCGCAAUGGGCGGAAGCCUGCCGGAGCAACGCCGCGUGAGUGAUGAAGGUCUUCGGAUCGUAAAACUCUGUUAUUAGGGAAGAACAAAUGUGUAAGUAACUAUGCACGUCUUGACGGUACCUAAUCAGAAAGCCACGGCUAACUACGUG